AACUUUUAAUAACGGAUCUCUUAAUUCUAGUAUUAAUAAAGAACGUAAUAAAAUACAAUAAAUAAUAUAAAUUAUAAAAUUCAAUAAAUUAUUGAAUUUUUAAAUAUAUAUUACACUCGUUAAUAUUUUAAUAAAUAUAUUUAUUCGAAUAUUA